rnacentral:rRNA from 1 species
CCCUUAGAUGUUCUGGGCCGCACGCGCGCUACACUGACCAGUGCAACAAGCAUCCGUCCUUGGCCGACAGGCCCGGGCAAUCUUUGAACGCUGGUCGUGAUGGGGAUAGACUUUUGCAAUUUUUGGUCUUCAACGAGGAAUUCCUAGUAAACGCAAGUCAUCAACUUGCAUUGAUUACGUCCCUGCCCUUUGUACACACCGCCCGUCGCACCUACCGAUUGAAUGGUCCGGUGAAGCCUCCGGAUUGGCGCGCACCUCGGUGCCGCCGAGAAGUUGGCGAAACCUUACCAUUUAGAGGAAGGUGAAGUCGUAACA